rnacentral:misc_RNA from 1 species
UAGGCAUUUGUUUAGGACUUCAACUACUUUUCGAGUCUAGUGAGGAGAAUGGUCCAGUGAAUGGUCUUGGCUUGAUACCUGGUGUGGUGGGGCGUUUUGACUCAUCAAAGGGUUUCAGAGUACCCCAUAUCGGCUGGGACACUUUUCAAAAUGCAAAAUUGGAUGAUAUUGGAAAUCGCCAUGUUUACUUUGUUCACUCUUACCGUGCCAUGCCAUCUCAUGAAAAUAAAGAGUGGAUUUCUUCUACCUGCAAUUAUGGUGAGGACUUCAUAGCAUCAGUUAGAAGGGGGAAUGUAAAUGCAGUUCAGUUCCAUCCAGAGAAGAGUGGAGAUGUUGGUCUUUCAGUACUGAGAAGGUUUUUGCUUCCAAAGUCAUCUCUGACAAAGAAGCCUACAGCUGGAAAGGCAUCAAAACUUGCAAAGAGGGUAAUUGCUUGUCUUGAUGUGAGGACAAAUGAUAAAGGAGAUCUUGUUGUAACCAAAGGAGACCAGUAUGAUGUAAGAGAACACAAAAAAGAAAAUGAGGUUAGAAAUCUUGGUAAGCCAGUGGAGCUUGCUGGACAAUAUUACAAAGAUGGGGC